rnacentral:rRNA from 1 species
CGCGGUAAUACGUAGGGUGCGAGCGUUAUCCGGAAUCAUUGGGCGUAAAGAGCUCGUAGGCGGUUCAGCAAGUCGGCUGUGAAAUUCUGGGGCUCAACCCCAGAACUGCAGUCGAUACUGCUGUGACUUGAGUCCGGUAGAGGAGAAUGGAAUUCCCGGUGUAGCGGUGGAAUGCGCAGAUAUCGGGAGGAACACCAGUAGCGAAGGCGGUUCUCUGGGCCGGCACUGACGCUGAGGAGCGAAAGCGUGGGGAGCAAACAGG